CAGUAGCCGCGGGAAUACAGAGGGUGCGAGCGUUAAUCGGAUUUACUGGGCGUAAAGCGUGCGUAGGCGGCUUCUUAAGUCGGAUGUGAAAUCCCUGAGCUUAACUUAGGAAUUGCAUUCGAUACUGGGAAGCUAGAGUAUGGGAGAGGAUGGUAGAAUUCCAGGUGUAGCGGUGAAAUGCGUAGAGAUCUGGAGGAAUACCGGUGGCGAAGGCGGCCCCCUGGACAAAGACUGACGCUCAGGUGCGAAAGCGUGGGGAGCAAACAGGAUUAGAGACCCCCGUAGUCCCUGUCUCUUAUAC
rnacentral:rRNA from 1 species